GAGAACAUAGCAAGUUAUAACGGAGCAAAAAGUGCAAAAAAUUGAAAAGUGAACGCAGAGCUAAAUAAGUUGCAAUGUGAAGAGCCCCGAAAGGACAAGUGCGAACCGAGGAACAGGACCGAGGACUUGUCGACGACUGGGAGGACCAGCUGCCACAGCAGCGAUUGACAGGACAAAAACAAAGCCCUGCUAGCUGAGAGGACUUCCCGCUCGAGUGGCA
rnacentral:sRNA from 1 species